rnacentral:lncRNA from 1 species
UCUGACCCCACCUGCAUGUAAGCAACCUCCAACCUGCCAGCAAUUUGCAACCGUAAGCAGCCAAUCCAUGCCAGCAUAUCCUUACCCCACCCCUAUACUUCUUGCACCCCCUCCAUCAGCCUCGCGCCAGAUGCGGUUCCAGAUUCUCCCCGUAAGCCUGCGGAAUCCACCGUGUUCUACCCAGGGAACUAGAACCAUCCGAUAAUGACAGAGUCCUCCAUGAGAUUCCACAAAGGAGAGCAAUGUGUGAGUCCCACUGCUUUCCAGAUUCUCCAAGAUAAACCUAGGGAUAGGGGCUCCAAGGGA